rnacentral:rRNA from 1 species
UCGACCUGAGCUCAGGCAAGAUUACCCGCUGAACUUAAGCAUAUCAAUAAGCGGAGGAAAAGAAACUAACAAGGAUUCCCCUAGUAACGGCGAGCGAACCGGGAAUAGCCCAACUUGGAAAUCUCCCUCGGAGAAUUGUAGUCUAUAGAAGCGCCCUCUGCAGCGGCCGGGUCCCAAGUCCCCUGGAAGGGGGCGUCGUAGAGGGUGAGAACCCCGUCGGACCUAGGCGCGGCUGCCUCACGAGGUGCUUUCGAAGAGUCGGGUUGUUUGGGAAUGCAGCCCAAAGCUGGUGGUAAAUCCCAUCUAAGGCUAAAUAUUGGCGAGAGACCGAUAGCGAACAAGUACCGCGAGGGAAAGAUGAAAAGAACUUUGAAAAGAGAGUUAAAAAGUGCUUGAAAUUGUUGAGGGGGAAGCGAUUGGCAGCUGCGUGUGCACCCAGGCUUACGCCGUUCUAACGAUCGGCUGCAUGCGCUGGGUGUUGGUCAGCAUGGGUUGGCUUGGCAGGAUAAACGCGGGGAUUGUUACUCCGUCUAUGCUGCCGGGCCGACCGAGGCGUGAAGGCCGCUCUUGUCCCUCGGGAUCUGCGGCCUCGAGAUGCUGGCGGAAGGCUUUCAAUCGGCCCGUCUUGAAACACGGANNNNNNNNNNNNNCAUGUAUGCGAGCUGGUGGGUGGUAAACCCAUGAGGCGCAAGUAACCUGACUUUGGUGGGAUGGCC